UACGAAGGGGGCUAGCGUUGCUCGGAAUUACUGGGCGUAAAGGGAGCGUAGGCGGGCUCUUAAGUUGGAUGUUUAAAACCGGGGCCUAACCCCGGCGUGGCAUCCAAAACUGGGAGUCUUGAAUGGGACAGAGGCCAGUGGAAUUAGAGGUGUAGCGGUGGAAUGCGUAGAUAUCUCUAAGAGCACCAGUUGCGAAGGCGGCUGGCUGGGUCCACAUUGACGCUGAGGCUCGAAAGCGUGGGGAGCAAACAGG
rnacentral:rRNA from 1 species